rnacentral:RNase_P_RNA from 1 species
GGAGCCGGCCGGGCGGCCGCGGGCGGUCUCGAUCGCUCGAGGAAAGUCCGGACUCCACAGGGCAGGGUGCUGGUGAGAGCCAGGCGGGGGCGACCUCGCGGACAGGGCAACAGAGAGCAGACCGCCGCGUUGGCUCAGGCCGUACGCGGUAAGGGUGAAACGGUGCGGUAAGAGCGCACCAGCGUGGCGGGUGACCGUCGCGGCUGGCAACCCCCACCCGGAGCAAGGUCGAGCAGGCAGCGUUCGAGGACGGCCCGUCCGAGCUGCCGGGUAGGCCGCAUCGGGCCGGAGAACGGUCCGGCGGCGACACUUCGUUGUGUCGCCGAGAGAGAUGGUCGCCGGCGGGGCGCGAGCUCCGUUACAGGAUCCGGCUUACAGGCUGGCUCCUCCA